GUUAAUAAGGAGGAUGUGGUUGAGAUCUCAUUAUGUUGUACAAUCAUUCAAAAAACAGUUGGGUGUACAAGAGGAGUAAAUGCACAAUUAUGAGUUAUAGAUAUCUAUGGCCUGUGGUAUCUAUGAUAGAGAGCGAUACAUUUUAAAGAGGAUUUUUGGGGAGCAUUUCAAUCCCACAUUUGGGCAGACGAGGAAUCUCUGGAUGUUGUUUCUGUGGCUGUAUGUUGUAGUCAGUAAACUGUAAUCAGGUUGUCACUGAAUCAUAACUGGAUGUUAGCCAGGAAGCACAGUCACAUACUGUAGUACUCCAUCCCUUCUGAUAACAUUCCCCCUGCUGAUUGAUUGAAUUAAAGCUCACUCAGGGCUCAUUUCAGUGAACUAGUUAUCUGAGGGGGAGAUCUGUAACAGACACAGUACUAAUGACUAAAGGUUGUGUGUGGGGCUGAGGGGAUGAAUGCAUUUAUAGAACAGCGAUGGUUCCAUGACCACACUUAUGUGAUGAGCAUCCUUGUCUGAGACCUGAAGAGUUGCAUUGCAUGCAGGUAUACAUGCAUGUGUUCUGUCCCUGUCGGUCACACUUAAGAAUUGUCCCAGUGUUUUUUUUAGUCAGUAUGAUAUCAUUUAGCAUAUUUUCAUUUGAGAGGAAAGCAAGUUGAGAUCAUUGAUUCCGUGCACCUGUUGUUCUUUUGAGUUACACACAGUUAAUGUUAAAUAAUACAUACCAUCCUCCAGGUCUGUGGCGCAAACAUAUCCUGUAGCUGCGACAGUCCUACAAAUACAGGAAAUGACGUCAUUCGUAUUCACUGUUCUUAGUUAACAUGUCUCAACUAAAAGAAUCCCUGUCUAGUUUCAGGUCCACAAAGACACAAGGUAGAAAGAAGUGUUUCAACAAGGCUUGAACACAAUGAUCAUGUUCAUCCUCAUCCUGUGUGCCUUGUCAAGAGAGACCAUGGUCCAAACCACAGCCAAGAAGAUUUUUCCAGCAAAGAUCUAUUGGACUUCUACAGGAACGAUAGUGGAGGGAAGUGACCUUGUGGUAAAAUGUAGUACACAUGGGCGCAAGGAAGACAAAGUGGCAUAUGUUUACUUGUGCAUUAACGGGGUUGCAGUGGAACAGAAGAGAACUAUACAAGAAGACACCUCUUUCACCAUGAAAAGUGUUACUGGCCAACAGAGUGGCAAUUACAGCUGUGUGUUCUCUAAAACCCAAUAUCCACUCUCUGAAAUGCAGGGAAAAGGAGAUAAUUCCCUUUCCAUCCAGGUGAUGGACCGUAUACUCCCUGCAGACAUAUCACUUGCAGGCUCAAGAACUGUGAGAAAGGGAGAUGGUGUGGAGUUUAAGUGUACAAUCUCAGACCCAAGUUUUCAAACAAAAAAUACCAGUGACUUAGUUCACGCUUACCUCUGCAAGUAUGGCUCUGUUGUUCAGAUCCAGGUGUUUGACGUAAAGAGCACGGAGGUGACUUUUACGAUUAAAAGUUUUAAUAAGAAUGACGCAGGUAACUACAGUUGUGUGAUUGAUCUGCAAUCAAAAACCCUCAAAGAUAAAGACAGAACAUUAUAUGGAAAUAAUGCAGUAUUUCUACAGGUUAAUGUGUCCUGGAGUCACUUAAUCACACUCGUGUUCUGCGUCUGUUUUCUUCUGGUCUUAUCACUGAUAGUGGGCAUAUGGUGGCUGUUCAUUAAACAAGGAGCUUUACAAUGUUAUUGUGGAAGAACACCACAACAGGAGGAGAACGAUGCGCCAAUGACAGGGGAGGGUGACGGUAUGUUUUUUAACCUUUCCAAAAUAACUAUUGUUCUAUGA
ensembl:lncRNA